rnacentral:rRNA from 1 species
UACGUAGGGGGCAAGCGUUGUCCGGAAUCAUUGGGCGUAAAGAGCGUGUAGGCGGCCCGGUAAGUCCGCUGUGAAAGUUCAGGGCUCAACCCUGGGAUGCCGGUGGAUACUGUCGGGCUCGAGUCCGGAAGAGGCGAGUGGAAUUCCUGGUGUAGCGGUGAAAUGCGCAGAUAUCAGGAGGAACACCAAUGGCGAAGGCAGCUCGCUGGGACGUGACUGACGCUGAGACGCGAAAGCGUGGGGAGCAAACAGG